rnacentral:rRNA from 1 species
UACGUAGGGUCCAAGCGUUAUCCGGAAUCACUGGGCGUAAAGCGUGCGUAGGUGGAUGUUUAAGUGUGAUGUUAAAUCGUGUGGCUCAACCACAUCGAUGCAUCGCAUACUGGACGUCUAGAGGACAGCAGAGGCAAGUGGAAUUUGUAGUGUAGCAGUGAAAUGCGUAGAUAUUACAAGGAACACCAAUGGCGAAGGCAGCUUGCUGGGCUACUCCUGACACUGAGGUACGAAAGCGUGGGGAGCGAACAGG